rnacentral:rRNA from 1 species
GACGAACGCUGGCGGCGUGCCUAAUACAUGCAAGUCGAGCGGAUUGAUGGGAGCUUGCUCCCUGAUAUCAGCGGCGGACGGGUGAGUAACACGUGGGCAACCUGCCUAUAAGACUGGGAUAACUUCGGGAAACCGGAGCUAAUACCGGAUAAUCCCUUUCCUCUCAUGAGGAAAGGCUGAAAGAUGGGUUACGCUAUCACUUAUAGAUGGGCCCGCGGCGCAUUAGCUAGUUGGUGAGGUAACGGCGCACCAAGGCAACGAUGCGUAGCCGACCUGAGAGGGGGAUCGGCCAAACUGGGACUGAGACACGGCCCAGACUCCUACGGGAGACAGCAGUAGGGAAUCUGCCGCAAUGGACGAAAGUCUGACGGAGCAACGCCGCGUGAGUGAUGAAGGUUUUCGGAUCGUAAAACUCUGUUGUUAGGGAAGAACAAGUACGAGAGUAACUGCUCGUACCUUGACGGUACCUAACCAGAAAGCCACGGCUAACUACGUGCCAGCAGCCGCCGUAA